ensembl:lncRNA
GUGCAGAGACAACAGGCUGCCUUGCUAAACGAUGCACACCUGUAACUCACGUGACCCUGAUUAUUAUUGAAACGAGAACGAGGGCGUCGUGCCUUUAUAAGACUGCGUUAAUGUUUCCGUGGAGUUAUCCCGUCCGUUGUUGUUUAUUGAUUGUUAAACAUGGCUUCAUUUGCAAAGGUGGUUGUGUGUGUCCUCAUUGCUUGUGUCUGUAAUGCAUUCUGUUUUCCGAAGAGAGAUGUGAACUUUAAGCCCUCUGCAGUUGACCGCCAAAGUGAUGAUGUGGUUGUCACCACAACACCUGUUCCCCACAACCAGACCACAUCUGCCCAUACUGAAGCUGGUGGUGGUGCAAGUGAAGAUGCUGUGGCUACUACCCCAGCACCUAUUCCACACAACCAGACAACUUCUGAAGUUACUGAUGGAGCCAGUGAAGAUGCUGUGGACCGCCAAAAUGAUGAUGUGGUUGUCGCCACAACACCCGAUCCCCACAACCAGACCACAUCUGCCAAUACUGAAGCUGGUGAUGGAGCAAGUGAAGAUGCUGUGGCUACCACCCCAACACCAAAUCCCCCAACUACAUCUGACCACACUGCAGCUACCGAUGAUGCAAGUGAGGGUGCUGUGGCUGCCCAAACUGGAACUACUGUAUCCCAUACGACUGAAGUCUGAUUCGACUGCUCCUCUGGUCACAAUGACCUGAGUCACUGUCUGGACUUUUUGCCUCUACAUGUUCACUGCAAUAAAGGACAGAUUUGUUUUUUUUAAUCA